rnacentral:rRNA from 1 species
UGACCUCAAAUCAGGUAGGAUU